rnacentral:sRNA from 1 species
CAAGAACUUACACAAGAACAAAGAGAUCAACUGAGGGCAGAUAUCAGUAUUAUCAAAGGCAGAUACCGGAGCCAAAGUGGAGUAUGGCUUUUUCCCCCUCAUUAUAAUUGUUAAAACUUCUUAAAAAUUGUUUCACCCUUUUGAUAUAUAUUUCUUUGACUUAUAAACGAGCUAUAUUUAUAAACAAGGGACCAGAACACAUUAACUCAGUCAUGGUUAUGUGCUUCCUUGCUUUCAAUGUUUCAUUAUCUUAUAAGGAAGAGAACGUAUGGUCUCUUGAAAAAACUGACAAUAAGAAGUAACAACUGGACUACCACAUUUUUUUUUACAUCCUUAAUUUAACUCUUUGUCAAUUUCUUUUUUUACUUAAGGAGGACGAAUCCAUUAACCAACCAGGACCAAUCAAAACCAGACUGGCUAUUAGUCAGUCACAUUUAAUGACUGCACUUGGUCACACAAGACCAUCCAUUAGUGAAGAUGACUGGAAGAAUUUUGCUGAGCUAUAUGAAAGCUUUCAAAAUCCAAAGAGGAGAAAAAAUCAAAGUGGAACAAUGUUUCGACCUGGACAGAAAGUAACUUUAGCAUAAAAUAUACUUCUUUUUGAUUUGGUUCUGUUAAGUUUUUUGAUGGCUUUUCCAUAUGUUGUAACAGGAAAAAAAUGGUGUCUAUGAAUUUCUUCUUAAUUUAACAAAUUUGGUUAAUUUAUAAAAUCACAGAUUGGUAAAUGCUAUAAUUAUGUAAUGAUCAGGAUUGA